GUACACAGAUUCCGUCUGGACCAUGAAUCAACAAACAUUUCAUUAAAUCAAGAAGCUCAACAUAUUUGAAGGCUGUUGGCUCAAAUGGGAAUAAUUAUGUAUCUGGCAGAUGCAUUGCUGAGAUCAUGCUGAAUUGUUGAGGGUAAUCUUUGAAGCAGCUGCAUAUUAUCAUCUCACAUAGAGGUUUUUUUAGAUUUUAUUUGCUUCUCUAUGGGGAAGCCUCCAGCAGGAUCUCUAUACCCAGCCUAUGUGAGACAUUUUGGUUCUAGACGUCAAUCAAAUCCAAAAGAAGAAAGGAAUUUAUCACAUUCAGAGCCGCGUGAGGAAUAUUGACUUCCCUUUCUGAAUAAUCAUGCAGUUUGAGUUUGUUUCUAGGUUGCGACCUUCAGAUGUUCUCCAUGGAAGCAGCUAUAGCAACAGAAAAGAGCUUAUCCAGGACUAGCUUCUCAGUCAUCAAGCAAAAUGAGUUUUCUUCAUGGAGUGGCCACCUUAAGCCCGCUAUCACUGAGAAUCCAGUGAUACAGUGAUGGGACAGCAGUCUCGAGUAGUUUUGUGUCAGACUCUUACACAACUGUUCUCUGGAGUCCUCAACUAAGUUUCAUGAACUUCUGUUUCAGAUCAGUGAUCCAAAGACCCACAUGGAUUCUGCAUCUAAACUCCAGAGAAAACUCUACAGAAUCAGGCCAUGUGUAAUUGAAGAAAUUCCACCCAUCCUCUGUCCCUCGGAUACUUUGCCUGGAGCAACCUGGAGUUAAGUGCUUUGCUCAAGGGCACGAUGGAGAUGGUUCAUGGCUCACAUUGUUUGGGGAUCAAACAGAGACUCUGAGGAAAUGCUGCUAGUUUACUCUGUGAAGCAGAAGAGAGCUCUUCUGCUUGACCAAAAUUUUCAUCAUCAUCCUGGGAGAGUUUUUGGGAAUGAAAAUCUCCACUCAGGAAAGAAAACCUAGUCCCGACCCGCAUGUUUAAUGAGUCAUUCUGCCUUCAUCCGUUAUUCCUGGCGUGAUGUAGGCAGUGUAACAGGUGCACAGACACAAUGCUGACGUGUGUUGGUACCCAUAUAGCACUGACCAAAGGGACUCCUUGUAAAGCUGUCAAAGUAUGAGGAUGCAAAAUCUAUCUUUGUGCCUCACGCAAUGAAGACUCAGGCAUCAAUUAAUACUGAAAUAACUCAAAAGGUGAAAAAUCAAAAGCAAGAAAUUGAACCUUCAGUAGAAGCAAAACCAACCACAGAUCUACAUGUCACAGAUCAGCUUUGGAUUAAGCAGGCUGUUGUGUAGAUGGACAAGGAGUGACCUGUUUAACAUUCCUCUCAACUCUGGGCUCUUCCAGAACCUGGUCUCAGAAGAAUAGAUUUAAAGGGCAACCAAUAAUAUGAGCUCAGCAAGACCUCUGAUCACUAAAUGCAAAGCUGGCUCCUGUCGCUGUGCUGCUGUAUGACAGCUUAAUAAUGGCUUUCACAGAUUUGGAGAAAUGUAGCAUCCAUCACUUGCUCACCAGUGGAUCCUCUGCAGUGAAUGGGUGCCAUCAGAAUGAGAGUCCAAACGGCUGAUAAAAACAACACAAUAAUCCACAAGUAAUCCACACCACU
ensembl:lncRNA